UUAGAGGUAUUAAGAGUUAUCUCUUAACUCUUUCUGUGGCUUAGGAGGCAACUGUCUUAAGGUGGACCAGCUGACUUCCUGAGACACUGUCCACUGAGAGCUUUGUGAUCAGCAGGCGAUUCCCUGUAUCAAUUAAAGGAUGUCCUUCCUACGCAGCUCAAGAUGGCGCUUGAACUCUGUUUUUUACCUCUGGGAUCGUUCGUGUUCUAAAGAACACCCUAACAUAGCAGAGGAAAGUGUUUUAUUCCAUGUGGGAAGGAGGAGCGGGGAGCAGCUGGCGGAUCUCCGAGUGGAGAAGGAUUCUGAGGCCACAUUCUUCUUUAGUGGAAGCAGUUCACAGGUGAGCAGUCCAGAGCUGGUGAGGAGGCUCCAGGAUCUUCAGAAAGCACCAGCUCCAUGAACUGACUCACUGAACUUAAACAGAAUCUGUACCAUCAACUCAAAGGAACGUGGUUGCCUUGUUGGACGAUUUCCCCCAAACUUUCUUUACUCAGCUGUAGACAUGUGACUGAAUUUGGUCAAGGGUUUAAGGGCAGCAAUGAGGCAUUCAACGUCCGGAUUAUGAUCACAUGGGCAGAGCUGCUUCUCCUCCCACCUCCAUGGCUGGGAGAUGACAGUAACUCCAACCACGUCCAAGUCCAACCCAGAGACAGAAGCCCCUCGCUUAGGACGGCAGUAACUGUGGACUUUCCAUUACCAGACUGUUUUGUAAGAGAAAAAUAAAACCUCCACCUUAUUUAAGUUACUGUGCUUUAGGGACUCUCUCUCUCUCUCUCUCUCUCUCUCUCUCUCUCUCUCUCUCUCGCUGAUGUUAAAAAUUACGUUAAAUCAAGAGGGUAAGCAAAUACAAUACAGUGUGCUCCAUGCUACAGCAAUGGGAGCAUAAAAGCAGAGCCUAAUCUGAUCAAGAUAUUAAGGACUGAAGAUAAAAACAGGACAUGAUUUAAAUUACCUAUAAUUCACCCCAAAACCACAGUGAUAGUCAAUGUUUCUCAUGGAAUUUUUUGGUUUUUUUUGUACUGGGGAUUGAA